GACGAACGCUGGCGGCGUGCUUAACACAUGCAAGUCGAACGGGCCUGUCUUCUUUUUUGGGGGUGGGUUGAGUGGCGAACGGGUGAGUAUCACGUGAGUAACCUGCCCUUCGGUCCUGGAUAACCGCUUGAAAGGGCGGCUAAUACGGGGUGGUCCGGUUGGUCCGCAUGGGCUGGUCGGGAUAGAUUCACUGUUUUUGGUGUUUCGGCGGGGGAUGGGCUCGCGGCCUAUCAGCUUGUUGGUGGGGUGAUGGCCUACCAAGGCGGUGACGGGUAGCCGGCAUGGGGGGGGGGGCGGCCAGAAUGGGACUGAGGUACGGCCCAGACUCCUGCGGGAGGGAGCAGUGGGGGGUAUUGCACGAUGGGCGGAAGCCUGAUGCAGCGACGUCGCGUGAGGGAGGGAGGCCUUCGGGUUGUGAACCUCUGUUUCCGGUGGUGAAGUCCCUGUCCGUGUGGUGGGGUUGACGGUAGCCGGGGAUGAAGCGCCGGCUAACUACGUG
rnacentral:rRNA from 1 species